rnacentral:rRNA from 1 species
GUGAACGCUGGCGGCGUGCCUAACACAUGCAAGUCGUGCGCGAAAGGGAGCAAUCCUGAGUAAAGCGGCGAACGGGUGAGUAACACAUCGGAACGUACCCAGUUGUGGGGGAUAGCCCGGCGAAAGCCGGAUUAAUACCGCAUACGACCUGAGGGUGAAAGGGGGGGAUCGCAAGACCUCUCGCAGUUGGAGCGGCCGAUGGCGGAUUAGCUAGUUGGUGGGGUAAAGGCCUACCAAGGCGACGAUCCGUAGCUGGUCUGAGAGGACGACCAGCCACACUGGAACUGAGACACGGUCCAGACUCCUACGGGAGGCAGCAGUGGGGAAUUUUGGACAAUGGGGGCAACCCUGAUCCAGCCAUUCCGCGUGAGUGAAGAAGGCCUUCGGGUUGUAAAGCUCUUUCGGCAGGAACGAAACGGUGGAGGCUAAUACCUUUCAUCAAUGACGGUACCUGAAGAAGAAGCACCGGCUAACUACGU